rnacentral:rRNA from 1 species
CCUACGGGAGGCAGCAGUGAGGAAUAUUGGUCAAUGGCCGGAAGGCUGAACCAGCCAUGCCGCGUGAAGGUCAGUGCUCUAUGGGCGUUAAACUUCUUUUGUGCGGGAGCAAUAAUGGUCACGUGUGGCCAGACGAGAGUACCGUACGAAUAAGCAUCGGCUAACUCCGUGCCAGCAGCCGCGGUAAUACGGGGGAUGCAAGCGUUAUCCGGAUUUAUUGGGUUUAAAGGGUGCGUAGGCUGUGUGGUAAGUCAGCGGUGAAAUGCCCCCGCUCAACGGGGUGAAGUGCCAUUGAUACUGCCUGGCUGGAAUGCGGAUGCCGUAGGAGGAAUGUGUGGUGUAGCGGUGAAAUGCAUAGAUAUCACACAGAACACCGAUUGCGAAGGCAUCUCACGAAUCCGCGAUUGACGCUGAUGCACGAAAGCGUGGGUAUCAAACAGGAUUAGAUACCCUUGUAGUC